rnacentral:rRNA from 1 species
AGCGAACGCUGGCGGUAUGCUUAACACAUGCAAGUCGAGCGCGAAAGUGACUUCGGUCAUAAGUAGAGCGGCGGACGGGUGAGUAACACGUGGAUAAUCUGCCUUUAGGACUGGGAUAACCCUGGGAAACUAGGGCUAAUACCGGAUAAGACCACAGGUUCCAUGGAACCAGGGGUAAAAGGCGGCCUUCGGGCUGUCGCCGAAAGAUGAGUCCGCGUCCCAUCAGGUAGUUGGUGAGGUAACGGCUCACCAAGCCGAAGACGGGUAGCCGACCUUAGCGGGUGAUCGGCCACACGGGGACUGAGACACGGCCCCGACUCCUACGGGAGGGCAGCAGUGGGGAAUCUUGGGCAAUGGGCGCAAGCCUGACCCAGCAAUACCGCGUGAGGGAUGAAGGCC